GACGAACGCUGGCGGCGUGCUUAACACAUGCAAGUCGAACGGAAAGGCCCUGCGUUUGUGGGGUGCUCGAGUGGCGAACGGGUGAGUAACACGUGAGUAACCUGCCCUUGACUUUGGGAUAACUUCAGGAAACUGGGGCUAAUACCGGAUAGGAGCUCCUGCUGCAUGGGGGGGGUUGGAAAGUUUCGGCGGUUGGGGAUGGACUCGCGGCUUAUCAGCUUGUUGGUGGGGUAGGUGCUUACCAAGGCUUUGACGGGUAGCCGGCCUGAGAGGGUGACCGGCCACCUUGGGCCUGAGAUACGGCCCAGUCUCCUACGGGACGCAGCAGUGGGGAAUCUUGCACAACGGGCGGGCGCCUGAUGCAGCAACGCCGCGUGCGUGAUGCCGGCCUUCGGGUUGUAAACCGCUUUCGCCUGUGCCGAAGCGUGAGUGACGGUAAUGGGUAAAGAAGCACCGGCUAACUACGUG
rnacentral:rRNA from 1 species